rnacentral:rRNA from 1 species
CCUACGGGAGGCAGCAGUGAGGAAUAUUGGUCAAUGGACGAAAGUCUGAACCAGCCAUGCCGCGUGCAGGAAGACGGCUCUAUGAGUUGUAAACUGCUUUUGUACAAGGGUAAACCUGAAUACGUGUAUUCAGCUGAAAGUACUGUACGAAUAAGGAUCGGCUAACUCCGUGCCAGCAGCCGCGGUAAUACGGAGGAUCCAAGCGUUAUCCGGAUUUAUUGGGUUUAAAGGGUGCGUAGGCGGAUUGAUAAGUUAGCGGUGAAAUGUUCGAGCUCAACUCGGAAACUGCCUCUGAUACUGGUGAACUUGAGUGUAUAUGAGGUAGGCGGAAUGUAUGGUGUAGCGGUGAAAUGCUUAGAGAUCAUACAGAACACCGAUUGCGAAGGCAGCUUACCAAUCUAUAUCUGACGUUGAGGCACGAAAGCGUGGGGAGCAAACAGGAUUAGAUACCCGUGUAGUC